UACAGAGGGGGCAAGCGUUGUUCGGAAUUACUGGGCGUAAAGGGCGCGUAGGCGGCCUUCUAAGUCGAACGUGAAAUCCCCGGGCUCAACCCGGGAACUGCGUCCGAUACUGGGAGGCUUGAAUCCGGGAGAGGGAUGUGGAAUUCCAGGUGUAGCGGUGAAAUGCGUAGAUAUCUGGAGGAACAUCGGUGGCGAAGGCGGCAUCCUGGACCGGUAUUGACGCUGAGGCGCGAAAGCCAGGGGAGCAAACGGG
rnacentral:rRNA from 1 species